UUCCAGACUCCUACGGGAGGCAGCAGUGAGGAAUAUUGGUCAAUGGCCGGGAGGCUGAACCAGCCAAGUCGCGUGAGGGAAGACGGCCCUACGGGUUGUAAACCUCUUUUGUCAGGGAGCAAGGUGCAGGUCGGGACCUGCUGUGAGAGUACCUGAAGAAAAAGCAUCGGCUAACUCCGUGCCAGCAGCCGCGGUAAUACGGAGGAUGCGAGCGUUAUCCGGAUUUAUUGGGUUUAAAGGGUGCGCAGGCGGAGGCACAAGUCAGCGGUAAAAUCGCGGGGCUCACCCCCGCUCCGCCGUCGAAACUGUGUCCCUUGAGUGCGCGAAGGGUAGGCGGAAUGCGUGGUGUAGCGGUGAAAUGCAUAGAUAUCACGCAGAACUCCGAUCGCGAAGGCAGCCUACUAAACUGCCACUGACAUUGAUGCUCGAAAGUGUGGGUAUCAAGCAGGAUUAGAUACCCGCGUAA
rnacentral:rRNA from 1 species